rnacentral:rRNA from 1 species
AUGAAUUUUCUUGCCUGGAACUGUCGGGGUUUGGGGUUGGACUCGACAGUUGGCAAACUGCGUGACCUGAUACGGUCCCACAACCCAGCGCUGGUUUUUCUAUCGGAAACAAAGAAGACGGCCAGGGCUAUGGAAAGACUAAAAUGGAGGCUUGGUUUUCAAUCGGGUGUGGCAGUGGACUGCCAGGGUCUAAGUGGUGGUUUGGCCCUUUGGUGGCAUGACAAUGUGUCUAUUUCGAUUAGGCCGUGGUGCCAAUAUUUCAUUGACGCUAAGAUUGUCCAUGAGGGAACUCCCUAUAGAUUCACUGGUUUCUAUGGGGAGCCACGGACGGAGCUUCAGAAAAAAUCAUGGGAUGCUAUUCGGUUCCUGAGAGCAUAG